UCUGUGGAGGAGGAGAGAGCAGGAGAAAAGAGAGGUGAGGUGACGGAGGCACAACGACGGGAUGCCUGGAGAAAAUGAAAACCGAACAAACCAGGAAGUAACGGACCCCAAAACGAGGGCACCCCUCAACAGAGAACAAUGAUCCGCCGUUGAGGGACGGGGUAGAAAAAAAACAAACAAAUCGUCCUCUCCAGAAACCAACAACCAGGAAGGCUGUGAAGGGACAAGUGGAGAAGGCCUUCACAAAGCCUAGGAAGGGCCUCGAGCCAGCACAGGCCAGAGAGCCUCCCACCCCCACACUGUCACAACAAACAACAGCGAGGCCAGAAUGGACAAGCAAAUGGACGUGUUUCUGGGAAGCGGUAGCUGCUGGCAGCGUGGUGCAGGGCCCUCCCCCGAGGACCAGGGCAGUGCAGAGCAGGCGUGGACACAGCACGGGCAGGCGUGCAGCUCCCCCUGGCUGGCAGUAAAGAGGAGACAGGUGCUCAGCCCGCUUCCCUCUGGGAUGAAACUCAUCUGCAGUCAAAAUGGCGGACCAGGGAGAAAACCUGGCUGGCCAGGGGCAUUUCAGGGUACUGCCUUCUCCUUGAUUAGAAAUGGGCUUCAUGGUGGGGGUGGCAAGGAACAUGGAGGGACAACUCUAAAGGUUAGCUAGGGAAUUCCAUCCUUUUAACUUACUCCAUGCUGUUGUGGGUAGGUGGGUGUAAGGGGAUCUUAUGUAAGUAUGUGCCUGGUGAAUGCUGUUUGCUGGUCUCAGCAGACCCUUCAAAGCAGAAAGCCUGAAGCGGCUCUGUACAUGUCCAGCAAAGGCCUCAGCCUGCUCUAUACAUUUGCACAGGGCCACCAGCACCCUCUUACAUACUGCCAAGAAACUAUCAUUUUGGUGACAGAAUGCUUCCUUGGUCUCGGAUGAUUUCCAUCUCUGCCCCAUCUCCAUUUCUGGGUUCUCCCAUGCCGGGUUGGCGAGUAGCGAUCACGCCAGCCUUGAUCUCCCAGACCCUAGUUCCUCUUUCCAUUUCUGCUAAAAGCUGUUCCCCAAGUCUGCUUUGAUCUGGUCUCUACCAAAAGUCCUGGUGUGCCCUUUCUUUGCAGGGUGCAGGGCUCCAGUGUGACACCAGUAUUACAGUAUUCUUCCAGUGACCCUCAUGUGGCAUGGUAUAAAGUGGCUGGAAGACAAGGCCACAUAGUGGUAAGAGGCCAGCUGAGGGUACCCACUUAGCUCACAACAGCAGAUGUCCCAUGACACCCACCCAGAGGAAACAGGGAGGGACUCCACACUCUCAUGACCAGCUUAGCUCAGGACAGACAUCUCGGAUCCUAUGAUAUAGCUUCUCCCCUAGACCUCAACAAGAGUGUCUCAGAGCCAGAAGUACUGCUGUUGUGUCUGCCAAUCUGCUGCCUAGUGCGGGGAGAACUCUUGGGCAAACCAGCGCUUGGUUAGAACCUUCUAGAGAAUCCUGGACUACACAAAAAACCCUCCAGCCAUCUGCCCAGCCAGGGCCAGCUGCUUCUAGAUACAACAAGCCAGGCUGCACCUCCCUAGUCGAGGCCACACUUACUGUUGGAUGGCGUUCAGGAUCCCCCACAUGUACUGAUCCACUUCCAGACCCUCGAGCAGAGCAGUUUUACUGGAAGAGAAGAACAGAGGCUUGGUCUUUGCGCCUGGAGGCAGGACACAGCCCGCCCACCUCCACUGUCCUGCCACUGUGGAUACAAUGGAGGCACAGAGUGCAAUAUAGCAGUGAAAUCCAAGGCCCAUGCCUCUGUGGGGCUGGUUUUGCCUGAAGGGUAGGUAAAGCAGCUAAGAGGCCCAAGAAGAGGCCAGAGGGCACCUCUGCUCUGCAAGGUGGGUAUUGCUUACUUGCACACGGGACACCUCCAGGUCCCUCGCUCACAAUUCAGUUGGAGGUAUGACUCCAGGUCAAAGCACUGCAGAAGUGAGAGACAGAGAGAUAGGUAAGAUCAGGACUGUCAGAAAAUGCCUUGCUGUGGCUCUGGACUCUUGGGAAGACUUCAGUGCUGGGGAAGAACUCUUCUCUUACUCCAUAGAACCACAGAACAGCCAUGCUGUGUCUGCCACGGCCCUCACAGAUCUCUUCCCUGUCCUCGAGUAAGCCCUUCUGGACCCAACACCCCAGCCAAGUCUCACUGCUUUUGCCUCUUACUGAGGCCGGGACCAGUGUGGACUCUGGCAGUCCCCUUAAUCCAUCCCAGGGACCCAGGGUAACUCUGUUGAUCAGCCUGUAUCAGACAAAGCAAUCACAUCAUGUCCGUACCUACAAACUCAGAGGGAGGCAGUCCUGUCUGCCACUUAGCUUUCAGGAUGAACUAACUGUGCUUCACAGUGUGGCGAUGAUGGUGUAAUUGGCUCUGCCAUCCUUGCACCCCUGUCGUGGGACCCUGUCUUGGCCAACCCCUACACAACCGGUCUUUGCUAGUCUAGGUUGCCUCUUUCUUGAACCUGUGGUGUCUAGCCAGGACUUUCUGCUGGCCUACGAUACCUGAUUGUCUAUUUCUGCAUUACUACCCCUCCCCAGGGCCUCAGAGAUGGACCUGAAGGAGAAAACAAGACUGAGAGAGCACGAGAUACUGGCUGCCGAUGGCCGCAAUGUCUCUCAGGCAGCAACAGGCUCUGUUGGCCCUUGGCCUGCCCCUUGUCACCCUGCUAACUCUGUACAGCCUGGGCCUGCUCACCUGCACAUGCUUGCAAUCGUGGCCUCGAGCAGGCAGCUGUAUGCGCCGGAAUGUGAUGGGGCACUUCAGAGACACCUUGAUGGCGGUCUGCUCCACGCCAUCCUCCCCAUUGAGAGUUGUGUUGCCCGAGGAGGCAGCCACACUGCUGAAAUUCCGCUUGACUGUGAGUGAGGAGGCAGAGGGUGAGGGCUGGGUGCUCCACUGAGGAAAUUGGAUCUCAGCAGCUCCUAAACACGGCUUGGAUUCCCCACCCCUGCAUCCCACAUGCCACACAUGCCAUGUGCAGGUUCAGAAGGACAAAAGGACAGAUGUUGUGGGACAAGACCAGUAGCAAGGCCCAUUGUGACCAUCUCCAGGUGGAGGCAGGAGCGUCAUCUUUGCACCAUGUUUGUCUGAGUGCUCAGAAGCCUCAGGCCUCCUGCCUUACAUCUUAGCUCCUGUCUCCCGAAUGCCACCCAGUUUUGCCUGCAACAGCCCACUGAUCAUCUAAAGCUGGGUGAAUUCAAACACACUGGGAGCAGAGGCCCACUUCUAGUCUAGGAGGGUUACUAGGCAACUGUGCUGGGAUGGGGCUCUAUCCCAGGCCUUGGAUGAACCUUGCUUAAGGACCAAAGACCUAGGAGGAGUUUAGAAGCCUCUAGUUUAAGUGUUAGCUCCACUUCUUGCUCUGGGGGUUCACAUCCUUUAAAAUAUUCCUCCAGCCUCAGUUUCUCCUUCAGAUCAAAAAGAAAAGCACUGCCUCCUUCAAGAUCUCAGAGGUCAUGUGCAGAGCCUCCUGGCCCAGGCACUUGAGCACAGCCCUAUGGGUGGGCAGCAUCAGACACUGGUCACCCCCUUGCACUUUAUUGGUGAGCAUACCUAGCCUAGCUCUGCUGUUCUCGGCAGCCUCUUCACACUGGCAUCCCUGGCAACAUGUGUCAUGUUCGGGUUGCUGUUUUCCCCUUUUGCUAACCUGUCACCUUGAGAUAGCCUCUUCCCAGCCCAUAGGGCUCUCUGCUAGGCUCCUCACCCUCCAGAAAGUCCAGCCAAUACUUAGGACUCGGGUAACAGCUGUUUCCAGCUGUUGAUGCUUGGUCCCUCUCCUGUGAGUUCCCUGGGACAUUCUCUGGGCUUUACAUAGUCCAGGACCCUGUCAAUGAUGCUGAGAAGGCAACAGGAAGCUGCUGCCAGCACCUGUGCAGGACCAGAGCCCGGGGUAGGAAGUCACCAUGCAGGCCACCUCACCUCC